rnacentral:rRNA from 1 species
UACGGAGGGUGCGAGCGUUGUCCGGAAUCAUUGGGCGUAAAGGGCGCGUAGGUGGCCCGGUCAGUCCGUGGUGAAAGCGCGGGGCUCAACCCUGCGUCGGCCAUGGAUACUGCCGCGGCUCGAGCACUGUAGAGGCAGGCGGAAUUCCGGGUGUAGCGGUGGAAUGCGUAGAGAUCCGGAAGAACACCGGUGGCGAAGGCGGCCUGCUGGGCAGUGGGGGGAACCCCUUAAAGCUGACACUGAGGCGCGACAGCGUGGGGAGCAAACAGG